rnacentral:rRNA from 1 species
AUGACUGCAUCCAAGCAAAGCCCCCUCUCUCAUGCACCCAUCGCCCUCCCUUGUUCUCUCUCGCUCAUGCGGCCGCCACCACCACCGACUCCUUCUCCCGUGAUCUCACGCUCGCCGCCGUCGAAGCCUUUCUUUCCCUCCCUCUCGCACACUCACCGGCUGGUCGCUGGGAUGGUUUGGGGUUCCACUGCUGGGCAAAUAGAGUACGCGAAUGAGUCUGCCAUCCUCCUACGCCUCCUCGAGAUGGACAACACGGCUGCAAACUUUGCUCUAUCAAAGGAGGCAGUAUUUGAUGGAAGGAAGUCUGGUCCCAGGGGCACAUAUGGACAGAUGCAUCUUGACUGCAUGUCCAUCAAAAACUUCACAAAGAAGAGCCAUAAAUCCACCAACAAGUUGGCCUGA